rnacentral:rRNA from 1 species
CAGUAGCCGCGGGAAUACGAAGGGGGCUAGCGUUGCUCGGAAUUACUGGGCGUAAAGGGCGCGUAGGCGGAUGUUUAAGUCAGAGGUGAAAGCCCAGGGCUCAACCUUGGAACUGCCUUUGAUACUGGACAUCUUGAGUGUGGGAGAGGUGAGUGGAACUCCGAGUGUAGAGGUGAAAUUCGUAGAUAUUCGGAAGAACACCAGUGGCGAAGGCGACUCACUGGCCCAUUACUGACGCUGAUGCGCGAAAGCGUGGGGAGCAAACAGGAUUAGAUACCCCUGUAGUCCCUGUCUCUUAUAU